rnacentral:rRNA from 1 species
UACGGGGGGGGCAAGCGUUGUUCGGAAUUACUGGGCGUAAAGGGCUCGUAGGUGGCCAACUAAGUCAUACGUGAAAUCCCUCGGCUUAACCGGGGAACGGCGUCUGAUACUGGAUGGCUUGAGUUUGGGAGAGGGAUGCGGAAUUCCAGGUGUAGCGGUGAAAUGCGUAGAUAUCGGGAGGAACACCUGUGGCGAAGGCGGCCCCCUGGUUGGAUACUGACGCUGAUACGCGAAAGCGUGGGGAGCAAACAGG